rnacentral:rRNA from 1 species
CAAUAGCGUAUAUUUAAGUUGUUGCAGUUAAAAAGCUCGUAGUUGGAUUUCGGAUGGGACUUGCCGGUCCGUCGUUUCGAUGUGCACUGGCCAGUCCUAUCUUGUUGUCGGGGACUAGCUCCUGGGCUUCACUGUCCGGGACUAGGAGCUGACGAGGUUGCUUUGAGUAAAUUAGAGUGUUCAAAGCAAGCCUACGCUCUGAAUACAUUAGCAUGGAAUAACACGAUAGGACUCUGGCUUAUCUUGUUGGUCUGUGAGACCAGAGUAAUGAUUAAGAGGGACAGUCGGGGGCAUUCGUAUUUCAUUGUCAGAGGUGAAAUUCUUGGAUUUAUGAAAGACGAACUUCUGCGAAAGCAUUUGUCAAGGAUGUUUUCAUUAA